rnacentral:rRNA from 1 species
UGGGGAAUUUUGCACAUUGGGGGAAACCCUGAUGCAGCGACGCCGCGUGAUUUAGAAGGCCUUCGGGUUGUAAAAAUCUUUUCUAUGGGAAGAAAAUGACAGUACCAUAGGAAUAAGGACCGGCUAAUUACGUGCCAGCAGCCGCGGUAAUACGUAAGGUCCGAGCGUUGUCCGGGAUCAUUGGGCGUAAAGGGUACGUAGGCGGGUAAGCAAGUUAGAAGUGAAAUCCUAUAGCUCAACUAUAGUAAGCUUUUAAAACUGCUCAUCUUGAGGUAUGGAAGGGAAAGUGGAAUUCCUAGUGUAGCGGUGAAAUGCGCAGAUAUUAGGAGGAAUACCGGUGGCGAAGGCGACUUUCUGGCCAUAACCUGACGCUGAGGUACGAAAGCGUGGGUAGCAAACAGG